rnacentral:misc_RNA from 1 species
GAUGAAGAACGCAGCCAAAUGCGAUAAGUAAUGUGAAUUGCAGAAUUCAGUGAAUCAUCGAAUCUUUGAACGCACAUUGCGCCCCCUGGUAUUCCGGGGGGCAUGCCUGUUCGAGCGUCAUUUCACCACUCAAGCCUCGCUUGGUAUUGGGCAACGCGGUCCGCCGCGUGCCUCAAAUCGACCGGCUGGGUCUUCUGUCCCCUAAGCGUUGUGGAAACUAUUCGCUAAAGGGUGUUCGGGAGGCUACGCCGUAAAACAACCCCAUUUCUAAGGUUGACCUCGGAUCAGGUAGGGAUACCCGCUGAACUUAAGCAUAUCAAUAAGCGGAGGA